GGUGAUUGUCUGGAGGACAAACUUCUUCGGGGGACAGCACCCUCCAUUUUUGUGUCACUGAGCUCUUUCGUCUUCAUCAGCAUGUGAGGAAAGACAUCAGCUACUGACACUUACUGAGGUCAGUGGGGAACCAUCAACUAUUGGAAACUCAAAUAAGUUAGGAACAACAGGAGGUCCUGGAGCUGACAAAAGUAGAAAGGAAGUCGAGGUAACUCCAAAAGCAGCCUCACGUGGGAGUUCGCAUGGAGGGUCACUCCAGGGACGGGACUUUCAACCUCAUAAACACACACUGCGCAGUAAGCAAAGCAUGCCACACGCGCACAGACACCUAUUUCAGUCA